GCCGGGAGUCCGGUGAACGGGCAGAAGCAGGGCCAUGCCCAAGCCACCCCCAAGAUCCCCCUGAACCUGCGCCUCCAUCACGACCCAUUCAGGUGCCUCCAGGAGCCCAGACACCAGCCCCCCACCAUGGGCAGCAAGGAGCGCUUCCACUGGCAGAGCCACAAUGUGAAGCAGAGCGGUGUGGACGACAUGGUGCUUCUUCCCCAGAUCACUGAAGACGCCAUCGCUGCCAACCUCCGGAAGCGCUUCAUGGACGACUACAUCUUCACCUACAUUGGCUCCGUGCUCAUCUCCGUAAACCCCUUCAAGCAGAUGCCCUACUUCACCGACCGUGAGAUCGACCUCUAUCAGGGCGCGGCCCAGUAUGAGAAUCCCCCGCACAUCUACGCCCUCACAGACAACAUGUACCGGAACAUGCUUAUCGACUGUGAGAACCAGUGUGUCAUCAUUAGUGGAGAGAGUGGAGCUGGGAAGACAGUGGCAGCCAAAUACAUCAUGGGCUACAUCUCCAAGGUGUCUGGCGGAGGCGAGAAGGUCCAGCACGUCAAAGAUAUCAUCCUGCAGUCCAACCCACUGCUGGAGGCCUUCGGCAAUGCCAAGACUGUGCGCAACAACAAUUCCAGCCGCUUCGGCAAGUACUUUGAGAUCCAGUUCAGCCGAGGUGGGGAGCCAGAUGGGGGCAAGAUCUCCAACUUCUUGCUGGAGAAGUCCCGCGUGGUCAUGCAAAAUGAAAAUGAGAGGAACUUCCACAUCUACUACCAGCUGCUGGAAGGGGCCUCCCAGGAGCAAAGGCAGAACCUGGGCCUCAUGACACCGGACUACUAUUACUACCUCAACCAAUCGGACACCUACCAGGUGGACGGCACGGAUGACAGAAGUGACUUUGGUGAGACUCUGAGUGCUAUGCAGGUCAUUGGGAUCCCGCCCAGCAUCCAGCAGCUGGUCCUGCAGCUCGUGGCGGGGAUCUUGCACCUGGGGAACAUCAGUUUCUGCGAAGACGGGAACUAUGCCCGAGUGGAGAGUGUGGACCUCCUGGCCUUUCCCGCCUACCUGCUGGGCAUUGACAGCGGGCGACUGCAGGAGAAGCUGACCAGCCGCAAGAUGGACAGCCGCUGGGGUGGGCGCAGCGAGUCCAUCGAUGUGACCCUCAACGUGGAGCAGGCAGCCUACACCCGUGACGCCCUGGCCAAGGGGCUCUAUGCCCGCCUCUUCGACUUCCUCGUGGAGGCGAGCCAUCAACCGUGCUAUGCAGAAACCCCAGGAAGAGUACAGCAUCGGUGUGCUGGACAUUUACGGCUUCGAGAUCUUCCAGAAAAACGGCUUCGAGCAGUUUUGCAUCAACUUCGUCAAUGAGAAGCUGCAGCAAAUCUUUAUCGAACUCACCCUGAAGGCCGAGCAGGAAGAGUACGUGCAGGAAGGCAUCCGCUGGACUCCAAUCCAGUACUUCAACAACAAGGUCGUCUGUGACCUCAUCGAAAACAAGCUGGUGAGGGCUGGGUCAACUUUGGCAAGGGUGUCUCACUGGGCCCCUGAGCUGAGUCUGGAAGAUGGGCGGAGGGCCAAGGGCAUUAUGGCAUCCUCAGGCCCUUCUCUACCCUACAGUUAGGCCUUCCAGCGACAGAGCACAACCAAAAUGUCCCUUCUGCCCCUCAUCCAUUAAUUCCGCCUAGUUGUCCACCUUUCGCUUAAUCA
rnacentral:sRNA from 1 species